ACCUAAACGGCGAAACUGCGAAUGGCUCAUUAAAUCAGUUAUCGUAUAUUUGAUAGUACCUACUACAUGGAUAACCGUGGUAAUUCUAGAGCUAAUACAUGCUUAAAAUCCCGACUUCGGAAGGGAUGUAUUUAUUAGAUUAAAAACCAAUGCCCUUCGGGGCUCACUGGUGAUUCAUAAUAACUUCUCGAAUCGCAUGGCCUUGUGCCGGCGAUGGUUCAUUCAAAUUUCUGCCCUAUCAACUUUCGACGGCUGGGUCUUGGCCAGCCGUGGUUACAACGGGUAACGGAGGGUUAGGGCUUGACCCCGGAGAAGGAGCCUGAGAAACGGCUACUACAUCCAAGGAAGGCAGCAGGCGCGCAAAUUACCCAAUCCCGAUACGGGGAGGUAGUGACAAUAAAUACUGAUACAGGGCUCUUUUGGGUCUUGUAAUUGGAAUGAGUACAAUUUAAAUCCCUUAACGAGGAACAAUUGGAGGGCAAGUCUGGUGCCAGCAGCCGCGGUAAUUCCAGCUCCAAUAGCGUAUAUUAAAGUUGUUGCAGUUAAAAAGCUCGUAGUUGAACCUUGGGCCUGGCUGGCCGGUCUGCCUCACCGCAUGCACUGGUCCGGCCGGGCCUUUCCCUCUGGGGAGCCGCAUGCCCUUCACUGGGUGUGUCGGGGAACCAGGACUUUUACUGUGAAAAAAUUAGAGUGUUCAAAGCAGGCCUAUGCUCGAAUACAUUAGCAUGGAAUAAUAGAAUAGGACGUUGCGGUUCUAUUUUGUUGGUUUCUAGGACCGCCGUAAUGAUUAAUAGGGACAGUCGGGGGCAUCAGUAUUCAAUCGUCAGAGGUGAAAUUCUUGGAUCGAUUGAAGACUAACUACUGCGAAAGCAUUUGCCAAGGAUGUUUUCAUUAAUCAGGAACGAAAGUUAGGGGAUCGAAAACGAUCAGAUACCGUUGUAGUCUUAACCAUAAACUAUGCCGACUAGGGAUCGGGCGAUGUUUUUCUUUGACUCGCUCGGCACCUUACACGAAAGUAAAGUUU
rnacentral:rRNA from 1 species